GGGACGUAGGCCAAGAGAAGCAAGGAAGGGAUUAGAACGCUGGAUUUUUUAAUUGGCUAAUCACCCUUGUAUUUUUAAUUAAUUACAAUUUAUCCCACUUCCUAAAGAACAUAACCUAUAGAAUUAGGAGAAAGCAAACACGAUUUUGUUCUUUCUUUCUUCUUCGUGUAAGUGCGAAGAUGCUCUCUAAUGUGUAGAAGACAUGAAUCUAUGGUGCAAGGAUGAUCUCUACAUCUUAUGCGUCCCUUUGUUAUACAAUUUUCAGAGCCUGCAAAUUUAGCGGGAAUGGUAACAGAUAAGAUGUUUUCCUAUGCCUCAAUAUCCCCUAAUUAACUAAAUAGCCUGCAAAUUUUCACAUUAACGGUAGGAGCUUUGGAUAUGGGAUUCCAGCUCGAGUUUGCAGCUGCGGAAUAGGGGUUAUAUGUAUCUCUACUGGGCGGGUAACACUCUACACAGAAAACUGUUUAUGUAUCUCUACUGAUGGACUUCUCUACGCAGCAAACUGUUUAUGUAUCUCUACUGAUGGACUUCUCUACGCAGCAAACUGUUUAUGUAUCUCUACUGGGCGUGUCUUCUAUACUUAGCAAACUGUUUAUCCCCCUCUCUUUAUGUAAAAUCUACAAAAGCUAAGCUAAUGUGUAGAAGACAGAAAUCUAUGGCGCAAGGAUGCUCUCUAUCUCGGAAUUAUGCUACUGUAAGUAUUCUCCUUGAGUAUGUUUUUCUGUACCUUCAAUGGAAUAGGGGUUUGCGAAGUUUUAGGGGGCAACGUUGCUGUGAUUUGCUUAUUUGCUUUUCCUCGUUGAUGUAACAUUGCUGCGAUUUGGUUUACGGAAUUUUAUUGGGGCAACAUUGCUGCGAUUUGGUUUACGGAAUUGUGUAACUCUUUUGCUUACGUUUUUGUGUAGCUUCAAUGUCAACGUUAAUAUACUAGAUUAUCAAAUGUAGCUGCACUAUCUAGGUACCUAUAAUUGCACAGAGAAGAACCAUUUCUAGCUUAAAUUAUCUGCUCAUUAAUUGUCUGGGCUAAGAGUUAGAGCCUUUAUUAGAGUUAGAGACCAAAAACUUAACAUUACGUCUAGUGUUCUUACCAAUGUAUAUAUACUGUAUUUGUCUCUCCUCUUUUUUACCUUAACCAUAAACACACUUAUGUCUUCUUUGUUUUUUUCAAAAAUACCAGAGCUAGCUAGGGUGAGUCAUUACGAGUUGUGAAUUAGUGACUGACAGAUAUAUUUGUGUCCCUUCCAAAAAUAUCGUCCUUUCAAAUUUAAAUGUAGGACCAUUAAGCUACGACUUAGGAGUUGAUAUACAGAUUAGGAGCAAACUAGCCAUGGUUUCUAAUUCUGAAUCAUUGUGGUUCCACGUCUCAUCUUCCAGUUUUCCUAGAGCGAGUAUUAUUGAUCUAUCAAGUAUAAAUUUAGUAGAGACAUACGUGUCUGUAAUGAACUUUAUGUUAGUCAUGACGAUCAAUUUUAAAUCUUCUUAAAUCUUGUGAGAUUUUAUAUUUCUACCAUCUACCAAAAUCUCACGGAAAGAUAUUUAAUAUCAAAGUAAGGUUUAAUAUAAUUAGAAAAUCUAUGAGGAACUCUUUCGUACCUCCAACAAAAUUUUAAUACGUUUUAAAUUAUUUUAGUUACUUAUUUAACAUAUAACUAUAGAAAAAUAUGAUUUAACCUGUGGUACAAUGAUCUUAAUGCCAAUUACGAAUCACUUAACACAAAGGUACGUCACAACAACCACCAACCAGCCCCAAAGAUCAACCAACUCCCAGGUAAAGCUGUUCAANAAAA